rnacentral:lncRNA from 1 species
AUGAGGCCACCGCAAGGAGUCUGUGCUCACAGACUGGCUGGACGUGGUGACCCCAGAGAGGAAACGGCUUGUUCAAAAUCACUGCUGAGAGAUAGAACGGUGGUGCACACUUGGGAUCCGGCUGUUUGGAAGGCCGAGGUGGGAGGAUCACAAGUUCAAGGCCAGCCUGUGCAAUUUACUGAAAACUUUGUCUUCAAAGAAAAGAAAAGACAAAACACCACUGAUUUCCUAAAACCAAAUCUCACAUCCAGGCCUGUAACUUUUUAGUGGGGAAGUUUUUAGCUGACACAUUGGGAAAGGGAGAGAAAUGGAACCAGCUUUCUGCUUGCAAAUAAAAAUCAAUAUUUCUAAUUCUACCUGGAGAGAGAAUCAUCACAAGGCA